rnacentral:rRNA from 1 species
CCUACGGGUGGCAGCAGUGAGGAAUAUUGGUCAAUGGGCGCGAGCCUGAACCAGCCAAGUAGCGUGAAGGAUGACUGCCCUACGGGUUGUAAACUUCUUUUAUAAAGGAAUAAAGUGAGGCACGUGUGCCUUUUUGUAUGUACUUUAUGAAUAAGGAUCGGCUAACUCCGUGCCAGCAGCCGCGGUAAUACGGAGGAUCCGAGCGUUAUCCGGAUUUAUUGGGUUUAAAGGGAGCGUAGAUGGGUUGUUAAGUCAGUUGUGAAAGUUUGCGGCUCAACCGUAAAAUUGCAAUUGAUACUGGCAGCCUUGAGUACAGUUGAGGUAGGCGGAAUUCGUGGUGUAGCGGUGAAAUGCGUAGAUAUUAGGAGGAACACCAGUGGCGAAGGCGACUUUCUGGACUGUACCUGACGCUGAGGCGCGAAAGCGUGGGUAGCGAACGGGAUUAGAUACCCGGGUAGUC